rnacentral:rRNA from 1 species
UACAGAGGUCUCGAGCGUUGUUCGGAUUCAUUGGGCGUAAAGGGCACGUAGGCGGCGGGGUAAGUCUGGUGUGAAAUCUCGGAGCUCAACUCCGAAAUUGCACUGGAUACUGCUCUGCUAGAGGGCUGGAGAGGAGAUCGGAAUUCACGGUGUAGCAGUGAAAUGCGUAGAUAUCGUGAGGAAGACCAGUGGCGAAGGCGGAUCUCUGGACAGCUCCUGACGCUGAGGCGCGAAGGCUAGGGGAGCAAACGGG